UACAGAGGGUGCAAGCGUUGUUCGGAAUUACUGGGCGUAAAGCGCGUGUAGGCGGUUAUGCAAGUCGGGUGUGAAAGCCCGGAGCUCAACUCCGGAAGUGCAUUCGAUACUGCGUAGCUAGAGUACUGGAGAGGAUGGUGGAACUCUCGGUGUAGAGGUGAAAUUCGUAGAUAUCGAGAAGAACACCGGUGGCGAAGGCGGCCAUCUGGACAGAUACUGACGCUGAGACGCGAAAGCGUGGGGAGCAAACAGG
rnacentral:rRNA from 1 species